UUCUGGCUUUUUCCUUCGUAAUUCUGUUGUAACGAUAUAGUAUCUUUCCAGACAAGGAUAAUUGUUGCAAAAUUUGAGCUGUUUAGUCGGUUGUUCCACUUGUUGCGUGCUCAUAACUCUCAUUUUCAGCUUUUCUUCAUCUUCUAACAUUUAUUAAAAUUUGCUGCCCAGAUAGUUAAGAGAUUUUAGGGUUUUGGAAAACUGUGGGUAUUUAAGAGAUUAUAGCUUUUGGGCAAGUUGUGGGGUUUUUGGCAAUCUUCAUGUGAAGUGUAGUUGGCUUUGAAUUUAAAUUUCGUUGGGUACUUUUUAGCUUAGACUGCGAUGCUGGACUUUCCUUUUUGAGCUUCUCCACGCAAAGGAAGUGGGGAAGACGCCCAAAUGUAAAUCAUAUUAGCAUUUUCAUUGCAACAGAUCGCAUUAGCAUCCAUCAGAACUUUCGUGAGAAGGCAGUUUAAAUGAUAGAAUCCCCAGGAAGGUUGUAACAUGUCCAAUUAUUUAUUAAUUAAUUUAUCUUUUCUGUCGGACCAUAGUGCCAAUGGUUCCAUAUGAAAUCAUUAAAAGGGAAUUUGUGCUAUUCUUUAUCAAUAUUGUAAAUUUAUCAGUGUUUUCUAUCUUUGUUUCUCUGUGUGUACUGUGUACUGGUGUGGGUGGUGAUUGGAUGAGGAGUUACUUUCUUCUUUUAUUUUCCUCCCUCUUUUUAUCUUCAUAGAUCUGCUGCUUCUCCAUGAAUUUGCCUCAUUAAGUACUUAUAUCCAAGCAGAAUAAUUUCUCGAUUUAUAUUUAGAGUCUAUCUGGAUGGCCAGAGUUGAAACUACUUUCAGAUGUGUGCUGACAAAUAAUUAUUUAGUUGAAAAUUUUCUUUUCCUGCUGGUUGUAUCCCAUCUAUGAUGGGUAUUCCUUUUCUACAAAGAUAUGGUAGGUAACCCCUUGAUUUAUUUCCGAUAGGCUCCUUUUGGUUGCAAGGGAAAUUGAAAUGAAAGGAAGUGAAAUUUUCAAACCUAAUAAAGAAACUUUUGUAAUCAUUACCCCACAUGUUUAUGUUACUAACACUAAAUCAUUCCAUAUUUGGUUAUUAAAUUUCUGUUUACUUUACAUCUAAAUUCCAUGGAUUUGAAAAUAAAAAUAAAAAUUACAUAUAAAAAGUGAAUAAGAAUAAUGAGUCAGAAAAUCUUUAUAGUUAUGACUAAGACUCGACCAUAGCCAUGGAUAUUUAAUAUGGAAUCAAUGGGUGUGAAAUAUUUUUUCAGAGUUAAAUGUAACCAUAGAAACUCUUACUCUCUUGUCUUCUUUGCCCUCCCUCUUUUGUUGUGUUUCGUCUUCAUCAUUACUAAAUAUGAUGAGAAAUUUAAGUAGUUUAUGUAAUCAUGUUGGAUGAUGAUUACAAAUUUUUCCCUUUUAGGUUUGAAAUUUUCACAUACCUUCAUUUUAAUUUCCCUUGCAAACAAACGGAGCCGUAGGUAACCUCUUUUCUGAAAAGGAUGAAAGCAAGUGAUUCCCAUGAUGUUGUUUACCUCCACCGGAUCCAAAGUAAAACCAUAGAAUGACCAGCUGUUUGGACUCUGGGGGUUACAGAAAGAGCCUCAGUCCCAUCCACUUUACUGCAACGUGCAAAUAUAGUAUGGAUUAUGAGAUUUUUAGACUUCCAUUUAGUGGUUUGUAAAUUUAUUCACAAAAUUGUUUAUGAAAUUUGCUGCGGAUUUGGGUACUUGUUUUAUCUAUUAUGUUUGGUGGUUUAAAUGAUUUUGCUUUUCAAAUUUGACCCAUGCCUCAGAGAGCUUCAUGCCUCUCUAUCCAUUCAUUUGAACUCAAAAUCCGGUGGCAUCCUGAAACAUUACCCCUUCUCAAAGAUUUUAAGCUCAACAGGCUGAGAAUUUUUUUUGUUUCUUACCCAGUGAGCUAGUCUUUGUAGGGCUGUUGGUUGUGAUGAGGCCAAACAAACCACCCUAGAUCUCUAUUUAGAAAUUAGGCUAUGAAUGGCAUGACACAGGCCUAGUUCUUAGGAGAUUUUCUGUUGAAUCAAGGAUAGCUUACUGGUUUUGACAUUCUAGCAGCCUGCAUGGGGAAAGAAAGAGAUAAUAAAGAAGAGAAGAAAGAGAAGAGAUAGGAGGCUGCUUUGGGGAUUGACUACGGAUAGAAAAUUGGAUUUUCCUUUUAUUGAUUGCAAGAACAUUAAUAUGAUUAGAUCUAGACAGGUGGCGCACAGUUGUACUUGUAACUAAUGUUUAAAGAGAAGACUUUAUAGAAAAAGUGAAGCAAUUAAGGAUGACUGUAAGUAAGCGAAUGUGGUAGCUUAUAAAAUAAAAUAUAGAGGGAGGUAAUACAAUUCGAGGUUGAGUAUUGCCCUUCCUUUGACGAUUUUCAACAAAAGAUGCAGUUACUACCGUCAAGACAUAGACAUAGCAAGAUAUAUCCAUUGAUCCUAGAAAUCAAUUUAACCAGACACAUUCAAGAUCAGGUUCCUUAGUGUAUGCUUUUUGCUAAUGAUAUUAUUUUGGUUGAUGAGACUGUUAAAGUGUACGUCUUGGGUUGUGCUAAUUGUGGUUCACCUAAUGGCUGGGAAUACCCUAUACAUGGCUGGCUGUGUAGGCACACAAUUCAUUACUGAUCAUGGUGAGCUUACCUGAACUGUUGAGUUCUGGUCCUCUAGGACUUUUAAUUUGAAUCUACAUAGACUAGUGAUGCAGCCAUGAUGUCACUAGCCACUAAUGUUCCCAUGAUAUCACAGCCUCACAGGCAUUUAAUGCCCACUCCAUUUUCUCCCUCUCUUCCAGUGACUCUUUCCAACGUAUCUAUGUCAACAACUAUUUUCCAACUGCUUUAUUUCAACGGCUUUCCCUAUAUAGGCAGAAAGAAUGCUACUCCUCUAUGUUCUCUACGCUUAAACGCAGUGAAAAGACGCCCUUGCCCCCCUGGAAACAAGGUGGUGUGUAUCUUUUGGCUUGUAGAAGGUAGAGUUCAUAAUUUAUAUUUUUUGGAACUUGUGGGUAUGCCAUGGUGAGCCCCAUUGUGAAUUUGAGGUCCUCUAGUGGUGCUUCAAGAGAUCCAGAGUUACGAGGAUCUGACCCUUAUUGUCUUGUACUUUUCUUUAUUUUCUAGUUUAUUUUGAAUCCUCCCCUUUUGAGCUGGAUCAAGAGCUCCUAAAUGCCCAACAUUGCAGGAGUUUCCAUUGCAGCUUCUUUUUUGUGUAGUUUUAGUCAGUGCAUACAAUUAGGAAGUUUAUCUCACAUCCAACUAUUAUGGAAGCAAA